CGGAGGGUGCAAGCGUUAUCCGGAUUUACUGGGUUUAAAGGGUGCGUAGGCGGGCUUUUAAGUCAGCGGUGAAAGCUUCGGGCUUAACCCGGAAAUUGCCGUUGAUACUAUUAGUCUUGAAUUAAGUUGAGGUGGGCGGAAUAAGUCAUGUAGCGGUGAAAUGCUUAGAUAUGACUUAGAACACCGAUUGCGAAGGCAGCUCGCUAAACUUAUAUUGACGCUGAGGCACGAAAGCGUGGGGAUCAAACAGGAUUAGAAACCCUGGUAGUCCACGCCCUAAACGAUGAUUACUCGAUCUUAGCGAUACACAGUUAGGGUCUAUGCAAAAGCAUUAAGUAAUCCACCUGGGGAGUACGACCGCAAGGUUG
rnacentral:rRNA from 1 species